UUUGAGGGGAAUGUUGUCUGGCUCGAGGCCACUAACUAGAUCUGUAAUUUUUAUCUCUGAAUUUGUAUUGAGAUAUGAUUGAUGAUCAUGAGUUAGUGACGUCGGACCAGGCUUCAUUCCCCCCAAU
rnacentral:pre_miRNA from 1 species